rnacentral:rRNA from 1 species
UACGUAGGGGGCAAGCGUUGUCCGGAAUCAUUGGGCGUAAAGAGCGUGUAGGCGGCUCGGUAAGUCCGCUCUGAAAGCCCGGGGCUCAACCCCGGGAGGCGGGCGGAUACUGUCGGGCUAGAGUCCGGAAGAGGCGAGUGGAAUUCCUGGUGUAGCGGUGAAAUGCGCAGAUAUCAGGAAGAACACCCGUGGCGAAGGCGGCUUUCUGGGACGGUACUGACGCUGAGACGCGAAAGCGUGGGGAGCGAACAGG